GAUGAAGAACGUAGCGAAAUGCGAUAGUAAUGUGAAUUGCAGAAUUCAGUGAAUCAUCGAAUCUUUGAACGCACAUUGCGCCCGCCAGUAUUCUGGCGGGCAUGCCUGUUCGAGCGUCAUUACAACCCUCAGGCCCCCGGGCCUGGCGUUGGGGAUCGGCGGAGCCCCCCGUGGGCACACGCCGUCCCCCAAAUGCAGUGGCGGUCCCGCCGCAGCUUCCAUCGCGUAGUAGCUAACACCUCGCGACUGGAGAGCGGCGCGGCCACGCCGUAAAACACCCAACUCUUCUGAAGUUGACCUCGAAUCAGGUAGGAAUACCCGCUGAACUUAAGCAUAUCAAUAAGCGGAGGA
rnacentral:misc_RNA from 1 species